CCAUCUGAGCUUAGGAGCUGGGUCUGCAGACAAGCAUCACAUUUCCCAAGAGGUUUCCAGGAGGAGUUCCAUUUGGGAGUUGUGCCAGACUUGAAAGAGAGCAUGCUGGAGAGUCUUCUGCAAGCCCAGGGACAUUUCAUCCAUCAUGUCAGCACCAGAUAGCUACGAGGAGAAAUUAUUCUUGAGGGUGGCCCAGCCUCAUAGUGAGGCCGAAGAGGAAGCAUACAGGAAGGAGGUGCUGAAGAG